CAGUUUCUUACUCCCUUCUUCUCCCUCACGCCACUUUCCCUUUUUCUCCAUGGAAGUCAAGCUUACUUUCCACUUGUCACCACCCUUGUUCAUCUCAAUUUGACUCAUCAAUUCCAUGACACUAAUCAGAAUUUCUAUGCCUUAGUCAUCAAUUCUGAAUUCCUCUUCACAUUUGUCCAUCAAUUAAGCUUCACAUUUGUCAAUCAAUGGAGCUUCAAUUGAUGUCAUCUCCUAUGUCAUCCAACACCAUUCAUCACUAUAAAUAGCCAGCAAAUUGAACCAGAAACCAUCAAGUUGAAUUCACCUUCAACCAAGCUCUAACCACCAUUAAAAACAAUGGAGUUUUCACCAUUUUCAGUACCUUCGAUUCGACUUUUAACCACCACCAUCACUACCGCCUUCUGUUCUUGCCGCCACCAUUGACCACCCUCGGCCUCCAUCUUCCGUCCCGCCGCCGCCCUGUCACCAGACCAACCAGCCGCCUCCAGCAACGCCCUGCAACCUCCCCUGCCUCCCUCCUCACUCGAAAUCCCUGUCCUCUUCCGGUUCGCACAGCCACCAUCAUCGCCGCCCUUGCUCCCUCCCUUCCACCUCGCCGCCACACCACCUAGCCACCAAGUCGCCGUCGCCCCUUUCCCUUCCUUCCUUCCUCCUUGUUCGUGUCUCUGUGCAACCAAUUCCCAAAAUUUGGAAUCAAUUUCCAAAUUAAAUUGUACUGAGUAGUCAGUACUCUUAUUCCCAACAAUAAGGUCAACCCACUUUACUAUUAUUUAUUUUUGGAAAUUGGACUCGGAGCUCAGGAAGAACGGUCCAUCGAACAGGGAAUAUAAACUACGGUUGAGGUACGAAGAAGAUCAUGGGAUGCCUUAGAGUGAGGAUGCAACCAUCAAAUUCACGGUCGAUAGAUAUAACUAUGUCUCACUAGUAAUAAUGGAUGUAUUAAUUAAACUCUAAGUAUUAAGUUAGAUUUUAAUAUUUAUGUUUAAUCAAUGUUAGGAAUAUUUAUUAAAGUUCAUUUAGAUUUCGGUGUAAAUAUUAAAGAAUUAAUCGAAGUGAAGUAUAAUUACAGUUA